rnacentral:lncRNA from 1 species
GUCUGCCUGUUGUUUCAACUUUGAUCUGACCGUACUCAUUGCCUGGCCAUGAGCUGGAUAGAGGCACAAUCUGAGGAUAGUUCCCCAAAUCAUGGGAAAUUGAUGUGAAAGUUGUGUGAGAGCAUCACUGGAGCUGGCUUGGGACCCAUUCCAAGUAGAUUGCGCCUGAAGGAGUCACAGAGUUUAUAGUCAUUCUUGGCAGCAAGGCCAGAGGGAGUCAGAAGAGUAAACAAAACAAUGCAGCAGUUUCACAUUGCUCUUCAAAGACAAUAUGGUGAAGAUGACCCAACUGGCAAGGACCAAGAAACGGAAUGGAGGAUGAGAACAACAGCUAUGUAUGCUUUCAGUGGUCAAAUUUGGUGGACGUCUACAAAAUGAUUUUAUGGGGUUAGGAAAUGCAAGUUCUCCAGCCUGUACCUCACAAUUUCACUAUCACUGUUUCUAGAGUUAGCAUUGUCAGCCUAUAAUGAGGUUUGGUCAUAGAAAUGUAUCCAAGACUUCUAAUAUUUCAUCAAUUCCAAUCAAAAUCUUCAAAGAGAUAGAAGUUAAAAAUGAAUUUAAUGUUUAACUGUAACAGCAACAAAUGAUGGGCUCUUCAUUAGAUGUUUGAAGUGAGAGGCUAACAACCAUCAUAUGGAGACUGCAUGCUCUGACUCUGAAAUUUAACCUUAAUAGAAGUUAAGUUGUGCAGUGUAUAGAGAGUUCUAAGUCCUUCUUUGACCCUUUCUGAUUAUAUGUGUUCUUUUUUUUUUUUUUGAAAAUUUUAUUUGGGUUUUCACAAAAACAAAAUACAAAUAAAACAUCUUUUUUGAAACUAGCA